rnacentral:rRNA from 1 species
AACGAACGCUGGCGGCAUGCCUAACACAUGCAAGUCGAACGAGACCUUCGGGUCUAGUGGCGCACGGGUGCGUAACGCGUGGGAAUCUGCCCUUGGGUUCGGAAUAACAGUUGGAAACGACUGCUAAUACCGGAUGAUGACGUAAGUCCAAAGAUUUAUCGCCCAAGGAUGAGCCCGCGUAGGAUUAGCUAGUUGGUGAGGUAAAGGCUCACCAAGGCGACGAUCCUUAGCUGGUCUGAGAGGAUGAUCAGCCACACUGGGACUGAGACACGGCCCAGACUCCUACGGGAGGCAGCAGUGGGGAAUAUUGGACAAUGGGCGGAAGCCUGAUCCAGCAAUGCCGCGUGAGUGAUGAAGGCCUUAGGGUUGUAAAGCUCUUUUACCCGGGAUGAUAAUGACAGUACCGGAAGAAUAAGCUCCGGCUAACUCCGUG